UGCCUCCUGGUGCACAAGUCACUUUGCCACCUCCGACCCUUGUUGACACAACGCCAAAGCCAACCGUGCCAAUUCCUCAGAUGGCAGUAAGGCCUGAAUUGCAACAACCUGGUGUCUACCGAACAACAGCUGCGGCUACCCCUGCUCCAGCGCCUAAUGCAGCACCUGGAUAUGCUGGGAUGGCCUACCACCAUGUCAUCCAAUCCCACCACCACCACCACCCUGCGCCGCAGCCUGUAGCAAACAUGGCUGGCAACUACGGGUAUGAGUUUGCUGAUCCUACGCGCCCGCAAGUCUACUACUCACAGGCAGCUGCACCUCCAACAUUGCCACAGUAUCCGCCCAUUGUCUCUCCUGAUGCUGG
rnacentral:lncRNA from 1 species